rnacentral:rRNA from 1 species
UUUAAGCAUAUCACUCAGUGGAGGAAGCUCAAGCGACAGCGACUGUUGCAGUAACGGCGAUUGAACUGGCAAUGACGCAGGGCUCGGCCCGAACGAGAUCCUACCCGCCAUCUGUCCUCCCCCGGUGGCACAGCUGCGCGGACGGCUUCCGUGGGUUUCACAACGAUGCUGUGGGCUAUGCAAUGGGAGUGGACGGUGCGCUCGCGCCGGAUCGGCCCUGGCACCGGGAAGGUGCCCUGGAACGGACCGCGAACGGGGGUUACUGCCCCGUACGAGCCGCGUGUGCCGGGCCGUGAAGGCGCCGCCGUCCAUAUCCCCGGAGUAGAGCGGCUUGGGACUGCAGCUUGAAGCGCGGGGUGUAUCCCCCGCAAGGAGCAAUACCACCGUGGGACCGAUAGCGCACAAGUAGAGUGAUUGAAGGAUGCAAAGGACUUUGCAAAGAGGGUUAAAAGUCCCUGAAGCCUCGGCAGGAACGGCGGUGUGCGGUGCUGUGGAAACGUGCGAGCCAGGCGACCUCGGGCCAGCCCCGGGCCGGCCACAGAGCCCCUCCGGGCGCGCCCCCUCCACCGGGGGCUCCCGGACGGACGCCUAUCGUGGCGGCCCCGCGGUGGCAGAUCCCGUCUGCCCGGGCCCGAGGGACGACCGGAAGCAUCAUCAUCGUCAUCGUGUCAUCGAUCACCGCCGCCGCAGCAUGCGGUCGGUCGGGCCCAGAGCCGACGGCCCUCUCCGCGGGCCCCCAACAGCCAGCCAGCCUCCGUCCGAUGUGAUCGCAGCAGCGACGGGCGGGGUGGCUGGCUGGCUGGCUGGCCCGGACCGUGGACGGACGGACGGAUGGGAUGGGAGAGGGAGGUUGUUCCUUCAACCCCCCCGCGAACCCCUGGUGCGUCUCCGGGCGUGCCAGUCGCCGCGGCCCGGACCGGCUCGGGGCCGGCGGUCGCGCGGGGGCACCACCACGUCGCUGGUGGCCGCUGCGCGUGCCGUCGGGUCUUCCCCCCGGACGGCGCCCGGCGCAGAGCAGGGUGUGCCGAACGCACCGAGGCAAGCGGAGCCUGGCGCAGCAGUGCCGCUCUCUGCCCGUCUUGAAACACGGACCAAGGAGUCUAUGGAGCUUGCAGGCCGGCAGGUGCCUCUCCCCUCCGUGGGACAAACCGCCACCGCCACGGGGUGAACGCGAGACCGUCGCCUUCCAGAACGGUCUCCUCCCCGUCGCCCCCGCCUGGAACACCGGCCCCCGUGUCCCCCGGACCGGGUUUCGAGUGCGUGCAAGGUCCCUGGGACCCGAAAGGUGGUGAACUAUGCCGUUCCACGACGAAGCCGUGGGAAACUGCGGUGGAGGUCGGUCGCUGUUCUGACGUGCAAAUUGUGUAGUCUGAGUGUGGCAUGGGGGUGAAAGGCCAAUCGAACCGCCUAGUAGCUGGUUUCCCUCGAAGUUUCCCUCAGGAUAGCUGGGCUCGAACGCAAAGGCCGGUGCCACCGGACCCGUUCCGAACACCCACGCAGGCUCCUCGGUGGCUACGUCCGGUAAAGCAACGCAUGAGAGGCAAUUCGCGGGGCGGCCUCCCGCCUCGACCUAUUCUCGAACUGUGAAUGGGCGUGGCCCGUGUCCCGGUGGUUGGUCGCAAGCAUCAACGGCCGAGGGAGGAGAGGCACGCUUCUUCACCCCGCGCGCCGGAGCCGGGGCCGCCCCCGCCGGCCCCGUCCUCCCGGGUUCAGCACCCGAACGGCCCUUCCCUGAGCGUGUUCUUCCGGGCCGCCGUGCGUGCGUGCGCGCGCAGCGCGCUGCGGAGACGACCGACCGAGCGGUCGGUCCCACCGUCCUCGGCGGUCCGAGCAGCGGCCGUGUGCGGCGGCCGUACGGCGGCCGUGUCGUGUGGAGCGAGCGUGUGCCCACGUGGGCCAGGAUUGGUAAGCAGUGCUGGCGACGCGGGGUGCUCCGAGAGUGGACUUACCGGACCAGAGUGCUGGCUCAUACUCAGAUCCCACAAAGGACGUCGCGCGCUAUGGAUAGCAGGUCGGUGGCCAUGAAGGUCGGAACCCGCUAAGGAAUGUGUAACAACUCACCUGCCGAAGUGCGCGGCUCCGAAAAUGGAUGGUGCCCAAGUCAGUGAAGCUGCAGAGAAACGGAACCGUCGCCUGACAGUCCGCCGCCGCUGUGGCAGCGCUGUCCCCCGCGUCAGCGUCCGAGCAGAGCAUCGUUGUGUAGAGAGGACGUGGGAGACCCACCUGCGUUCCGCUGCCGUCCGUCGUUGCCUCCCGGCGCCGUCCAGGCCGGGGCCGCCCCCGGCCGGAGCGUCUCCCGGCGCAGAUCUUGGUUGUAGUAGCGAGUACUCCGUCGGGCGAAGGGCGGGACCAACCCGCUGCGCGUGGUUGAGGACUGGAGUGGAGCAGGUUUCCGUACCAAACAGCCGUUGAAUGCGGGUCAGACGACCGUGAGCCAAGUGGUAACUUCAGCCGUGAUCGACCAAAGCCGUCCGUGCGCCGUCCCGCCGCCCACCGACGGGGGUUCCUAUCCCCGCCGCGCGGGCCGGCGGGCCGCGGCCAGCGAACCGGGAGUGGCAAACAGGCGAGCAUGUUGCAACAUUCUGCUGCCUCGGGCUCGGCCGACUCACCCUCUCCGUGGGUGGCGACGCCGUGUAACCACGGGCCAGCGGGCCUCGGGGCAGUGCACCCCUCGGGGAGUUCUCGUUUCCUCCUGAUGCAGACCCAAGUGGGCUAUCGAUUGGCGUGACAAACGGUGGUGUACGCCCUCCGCUCAGCAAAACGGCGCGCCCUAAGCGCUGGCGGUGUCGGCGCAACGCCCGAAGGGACAGCGGACGGACAGUCCACGGAGCGAUGACGGUGGUGACGCGGAGGCGCAGCCUCGGUCCCACCGCGACGGCACGAACCACACAGCGGCAGCCAGCCAACAACGGUGGUCACUGGCCCCACCGAACCGCCCGCGGGCGCCGCGCCGCGCCCCCUCCACGCGGGGGGGGAACCGCGGCCGAGUCAGCCUGGACACCCUCGCCCUCGUACUGAAUCACCGCAGCCGGUCUCCUCGGUCUGACGCCGCUGGUCUACGGAUUGAAUGCAGCUAAGGGAAGUCGGCAAACCGGCCGCGUACCCUCGGAAGAUGCGGUGGCUCCAGAGGCCAGAGUCAUCCGGGCCCCGCCGCGGGCGGCUGUGCCGCGGCGCUCGGCCGCCCUGCGUAGUGGCCCCCCGGGGCCAUUCGCGCGGGGAGGGCCGUCGCCGGGGCCGCCGUCGUGCUACCGACCGGUCUCCGGGGAACAGUGCCGCGGCGGGGGCACCGUCGGGCCCGCCCCCGGUGGGCUCGCGGGGCCGCCCCGGUGGCUGACGAGUGGCCCACGUGGAACUGUUGCUGCGCAGGGGAAUCUGACUGUUUAAUUGAAACCCAGCUUUGCGGCGGGACCCACCGGCUGGGCCCGCGAGGUGACUUCUGCCCAGUGCUCUGAUUGUCAAUGCGAAGAGACUCAGCCAAGCGCGGGUAAACGGCGGGAGUAACUAUGACUCUCUUAAGGUAGCCAAAUGCCUCGUCAACCAAUUAUUGACGCGCAUGAAUGGAUCAACGAGAUUCCUGCUGUCCCUAGCGGCCGUCCGGUGAACCAACAGCCAAGGGAACGGGCUUGGA